UACGUAGGUGGCAAGCGUUGUCCGGAAUUAUUGGGCGUAAAGCGCGCGCAGGCGGUCCUUUAAGUCUGAUGUGAAAGCCCACGGCUCAACCGUGGAGGGUCAUUGGAAACUGGGGGACUUGAGUACAGAAGAGAAGAGUGGAAUUCCACGUGUAGCGGUGAAAUGCGUAGAGAUGUGGAGGAACACCAGUGGCGAAGGCGACUCUUUGGGCUGUAACUGACGCUGAGGCGCGAAAGCGUGGGUAGCAAACAGG
rnacentral:rRNA from 1 species